rnacentral:tRNA from 1 species
AUUUUAGGUAGUUUAAUCAAAAUAUAAGUUUUGUAAACUUAGGUUAUACAUGUGUGUGUUCUAAAAU